rnacentral:rRNA from 1 species
UACGAGGGGGGCGAGCGUUGUUCGGAAUUAUUGGGCGUAAAGGGUGCGUAGGCGGUUUUGUAAGUCUUAUGUGAAAUCUAUGGGCUCAACUCAUAGACUGCAUGAGAAACUGCAGGGCUUGAGUAUGGGAGAGGUGAGUGGAAUUCCUGGUGUAGCGGUGAAAUGCGUAGAUAUCAGGAGGAACACCGGUGGUGUAGACGGCUUUCUGGACCGUAACUGACGCUGAGACACGAAAGCGUGGGUAGCAAACAGG